AUUUUCUCUGAAAGUAUGGGCAUACUAACUAGACAGUUGAGUUACUUUAGAGACUUGGAUUUAGGUUAGACAUGUGCAUUUCAAAAUUGUAGCUUUUGUGGCUCUAGAAUAACGCCCAGAUCUCUCUGUAUAAGAAUUUUCAGGCUUUGGACAUUGUUAAUGGAAUUUCUCUAGUUUCAGUUUUGCUUUGCAUGUGUUUCAACUUUCAAUGCAACAAAAUUGGGUUUUGGGAAUGAAGUUUAGAAAGUUAUCCUGAUAACAACUAAACAUAUAUGCUAUAUUUUGGAAUACUGUUUUAUAGAAGUAAACUGUCUUAGCAUUAUGUUUACUUUGUCUGCUAGAGAGAGGAGCUUUUUAAAGCUG
rnacentral:misc_RNA from 1 species